rnacentral:lncRNA from 1 species
CUUGGGGUGAGGGGGAGGGAAGAGGUUGAAUGGAAGGGGGUUUCCAAGGCAUUGUUCUGGGGACUGGGAGUGUGAUUAAAAUAAACUCAAUAAAAUAAGACCUACAAAGGGGAAGGCAGGGAUCAGGAGUGUGUACCACUCACUAACUUUCCGUUUUAAACCUGAAGAGAAACUGAAGAUUUGGGAUAGAUUUGCGCAAGAAAAGAACACACCAUCCUUUAAGAUAGAUUGAAGCAGUGAUUUUUAAAACCAAGAAAUCAGAACUAGAACAUCUUAAAUUUUUAAUCCUUUCUUUUCAGGUUUACCUAGACCACUUUUGAUUAAGAAAACUGUAGAAAGUUAUUAACGGCCACAAGUUAACGCCAGGAAGUGGCCUCUGUCAAUUUCCCAAAGAGUCCUGGUUGCCUGGUGUUGGAAAUGCACUGCUUCAGGUCUCCACUCGCCCUGGCUGGAAUCAAUCACAGAAGAUUUAGUCCACAGGUCGCUUUUCCCCAUAUUUCUUUGUACACUUUUCAGCAUUCUUAUGGAAUUUUUUACUGUCCUUAGAGUACUCUUCAGCUAGGUCAGCCUGAAAGGGGUGCUCAGGCUGGGGGUUAUUCACCAGUGCUAUGAGGGACUGGAUGACUCGGUCAGUUUUGGUUGCUGGCUUCCAGUUUUCAGCACUAAUUACUGGCAGGCAGACCUGCCUUUUUUUCAUCAAUGUUAAGGUGGAAUUUUGUUUUAAAAGUGAUCUUAGGUGGUUUGAAUGGAUACUCUGCUGGGAAGUUGAUUUCCAUUCUGAAGGCUCCCUUGUCAUAUGGAGGGUUCUCCUUCAUCAGCCUCCUGCUGGCUGCCAUCUUGGGUCUGGUGCUGCUGCAGUCCCUGUGUCUGACUCUUUGUGACCCCAUUUGAGGCUUUCUUGGCAGAGAUCACUGGAAUGAUUUGCUAUCUCCUUCUCCAGCUCAUUUUACAGAUGAGGAAACUGAAGCAAACAGGGUAACAUGACUUGCCCAGGGUCACACAACUAGUAGGUCUCUGAGGCCAGAUCUG